rnacentral:rRNA from 1 species
ACGAACGCUGGCGGCACGCUUAACACAUGCAAGUCGAACGAGAGAAGAGAAGCUUGCUUUUCUGAUCUAGUGGCGGACGGGUGAGUAACACGUGAGCAAUCUGCCUUUCAGAGGGGGAUACCGAUUGGAAACGAUCGUUAAUACCGCAUAAUAUAAUUGAACCGCAUGAUUUGAUUAUCAAAGAUUUAUCGCUGAAAGAUGAGCUCGCGUCUGAUUAGCUAGUUGGUAAGGUAACGGCUUACCAAGGCGACGAUCAGUAGCCGGACUGAGAGGUUGAUCGGCCACAUUGGGACUGAGACACGGUCCAGACUCCUACGGGAGGCAGCAGUGGGGAAUAUUGCACAAUGGAGGAAACUCUGAUGCAGCGAUGCCGCGUGAGGGAAGAAGGUUUUAGGAUUGUAAACCUCUGUCUUCAGGGACGAAAAAUGACGGUACCUGAGGAGGAAGCUCCGGCUAACUACGUGCCAGCAGCCGCGGUAAUACGUAGGGAGCGAGCGUUGUCCGGAAUUACUGGGUGUAAAGGGAGCGUAGGCGGGAUCGCAAGUCAGAUGUGAAAACUAUGGGCUUAACCCAUAAACUGCAUUUGAAACUGUGGUUCUUGAGUGAAGUAGAGGUAAGCGGAAUUCCUAGUGUAGCGGUGAAAUGCGUAGAUAUUAGGAGGAACAUCAGUGGCGAAGGCGGCUUACUGGGCUUUAACUGACGCUGAGGCUCGAAAGCGUGGGGAGCAAACAGGAUUAGAUACCCUGGUAGUCCACGCCGUAAACGAUGAUUACUAGGUGUGGGGGGACUGACCCCUUCCGUGCCGCAGCAAACGCAAUAAGUAAUCCACCUGGGGAGUACGACCGCAAGGUUGAAACUCAAAGGAAUUGACGGGGGCCCGCACAAGCAGUGGAGUAUGUGGUUUAAUUCGAAGCAACGCGAAGAACCUUACCAGGUCUUGACAUCGUAUGCAUAGCUCAGAGAUGGGUGAAAUCUCUUCGGAGACAUAUAGACAGGUGGUGCAUGGUUGUCGUCAGCUCGUGUCGUGAGAUGUUGGGUUAAGUCCCGCAACGAGCGCAACCCUUACUGUUAGUUGCUACGCAAGAGCACUCUAGCAGGACUGCCGUUGACAAAACGGAGGAAGGUGGGGAUGACGUCAAAUCAUCAUGCCCCUUAUGACCUGGGCCUCACACGUACUACAAUGGCUGUCAACAGAGGGAAGCAAAGCCGCGAGGUGGAGCAAACCCCUAAAAGCAGUCUUAGUUCGGAUUGUAGGCUGCAACCCGCCUACAUGAAGUCGGAAUUGCUAGUAAUCGCAGAUCAGCAUGCUGCGGUGAAUACGUUCCCGGGCCUUGUACACACCGCCCGUCACGCCAUGGGAGUCGGUAACACCCGAAGCCUGUAGUCUAACCGCAAGGAGGACGCAGUCGAAGGUGGGAUUGAUGACUGGGGUG